rnacentral:lncRNA from 1 species
AACAUGCAGAUAUUUUUGCUCCAUUUUCUUUCUAACAAAGUCUGUGUACAAAGUACUAAGUACUAGUACCGACCCUCUCUUCAACUUCAACGAGAAAUGAACCAGACUGUAUCUACAAGCACUACUACAUAGGUUCGGAGAACAAACACUAUGAACAAACACAUUCAUGCUAACUCAGGCCAUAGCUGCUGCUGUUCUAGCUUCACGAGAGACUCCUCCGCGGGAUCACAGAAAAACUAGCGCUAGUUCUACCGACUAAAUGAAGUAAUAAACUCCGGCACCACCGCGCUUCUGCCCAUCACUUUGUGUCCAAUUCUACUGACAAACUGAACUCCAACAUCACGAAAGCAACCAUGAAUAAGCAAACAACUCCGGUGAGUGAUGUGGACGGGCCUAGGAUCACAGCCCAGUUGAGCGAGCACAGCAUCAAGGACUUCAUCCAUCAACCAAUCAAUUCGAUCGGCGCUAGUUACUGCUAGGCCAAAUCAGUCGAGAACUCCUCCCCUAUCCCACCCGAUGAAGCAGGAACCCGACUCUGCUGGAUCGAUUCCUUGCCGCCGAUGAAGGGAACCGCCUGGCCGUAGGGGCGAGAGCAAACGGGAACGGGUGAAGAGCUUGUCCUGACUCGACGACAUCCCUAUUGGGCGACUCAACCUAUGUCGUACGAGGGGAUAAGGUAACAGGAGAGAGGUAGGAGAGCGGCAAUGUGCGGAUGUAACAGUGCCCCGCGUAGGGCUGGACCACGACGACGAACGCCAACGGGGAAGACGACCGCCGCCGCACGGAGUGGCCAAGGCGCAUGAUGACCCACAAGUAUAGGGGAUCUAUCGUAGUCCUUUCGAUAAGUAAGAGUGUCGAACCCAACGAGGAGCAGAAGGAAAUGGUAAGCGGUUUUUAGCAAGGUAUUCUCUGCAAGCACUGAAAUUAUAGGUAACAGAUAGUUUUGUGAUAAGAUAAUUGGUAACGAGCAACAAGUAAUAGAAGUAAAUAAAGUGCAGCAAGGUGGCCCAAUCCUUUUUGUAGCAAAGGACAAGCCUGGAGAAACUCUUAUAUAGAGAAAAGCGCUCCCCAGGACACAUGGGAAUAUCGUCAAGCUAGUUUUCAUCACGUUCAUAUGAUUCGCGUUCGGUACUUUGAUAAUUUGGUAUGUGGGUGGACCGGUGCUUGGGUGCUGUCCUUACUUGGACAAGCAUCCCACUUAUGAUUAACCUCUAUUGCAAGCAUCCACAACUACAACAAAAGUAUUAAGGUAAACCUAACCAUAGCAUGAAACAUGUGGAUCCAAAUCAGCCCUUACGAAGCAACGCAUAAACUAGGGUUUAAGCUUCUGUCACUCUAGCAACCCAUCAUCUACUUAUUACUUCCCAAUGCCUUCCUCUAGGCCCAAAUAAUGGUGAAGUGUCAUGUAGUCAACGUUCACAUAACACCACUAGAGGAGAGACAACAUACAUCUCAUCAAAAUAUCGAACGAAUACCAAAUUCACAUGACUACUAAUAGCAAGACUUCUCCCAUGUCCUCAAAAACAAACGUAACUACUCACAAAGCAUAUUCAUGUUCAUAAUCAGAGGGGUAUUAAUGUACAUAUAGGAUCUGAACAUAUGAUCUUCCACCAAAUAAACCAACUAGCAUCAACUAUAAGGAGUAAUUAACACUACUAGCAACCCACAGGUACCAAUCCCAGGCUUAGAGGCAAGAAUUGGAUACAAGAGAUGAACUAGGGUUUGAGAGGAGAUGGUGCUGGUGAAGAUGUUAAUGGAGAUUGACCCCCUCCCGAUGAGAGGAUCGUUGGUGAUGAUGAUGGCGAUGAUUUCCCACUCCCAGAGGGAAGUUUCCUCGGCAGAACAGCUCCGCCGGAGUCCUAGAUUGGUUCCACCAAGGUUCCUCCUCGUGGCGGCGGAGUCUCGUCUGGAAAGAUGGCUUAUGACUUUUUCCUCAUCGAAAGACUCCAUAUAGUAGAAUAUGGGCAUCAGAGGGCCACCAGGGGACCCACGAGGCAGGGGCGCGCCCAGGGGGUAGGGCGCGCCCCACCCUCGUGGGCAGGGUGUGGCCCCCCUCUGGAACUUCUUGCGCUCAUUAUUUAUUAUAUAUUCUGAAAAUGACUUCCGUGAAGUUUCAGGACUUUUGGAGCUGUGCAGAAUAGGUCUCUAAUAUUUGCUCCUUUUCCAGCCCAGAAUCCCAGCUGCCAGCAUUCUCCCUCUUUAUGUAAACCUUGUAAAAUAAGAGAGAAUAGGCAUAAGUAUUGUGACAUAAUGUGUAAUAACAACCCAUAAUGCAAUAAAUAUCAAUAUAAAAGCAUGAUGCAAAAUGAACGUAUCAACUCCCCCAAGUUUAGACCUCGCUUGCCCUCAAGCAAAAUCCGAAAUCGAAAAAUGAAGGAAAUAUGCCCUAGAUGCAAUAAUAAAGUUAUUAUUUUAUUUCCUUAUAUCAUGAUAAAUGUUUAUUAUUCAUGCUAGAAUUGUAUUAACCGGAAACAUAAUACUUGUGUGAGUACAUAGACAAACUAAACGUCACUAGUAUGCCUCUACUUGACUAGCUCGUUAAUCGAAGAUGGUUAUGUUUCCUAACCAUAGACAUGUGUUGUCAUUUGAUUAACGGGAUCACAUCAUUAGGAGAAUGAUGUGAUUGACAUGACCCAUUCCAUUAGCUUAGCACCCGAUCGUUUAGUAUGUUGCUAUUGCUUUCUUCAUGACUUAUACAUGUUCCUAUGACUAUGAGAUUAUGCAACUCCCGUUUGCCGGAGGAAAACUUUGUGUGCUACCAAACGUCACAACGUAACUAGGUGAUUAUAAAGGAGCUCUACAGGUGUCUCCAAAGGUACAUGUUGGGUUGGCGUAUUUCAAGAUUAGGAUUUGUCACUCCGAUUGUCGGAGAGGUAUCUCUGGGCCUUCUCGGUAAUGCACAUCAUAUAAGCCUUGCAAGCAUUGCAACUAAUGAGUUAGUUGCGAGAUGAUGUAUUACGAAACGAGUAAAGAGACUUGCCGGUAACGAGAUUGAACUAGGUAUUGAGAUACCAACGAUCGAAUCUCGGGCAAGUAACAUACCGAUGACAAAGGGAACAACGUAUGUUGUUAUGCGGUCUGACCGAUAAAGAUCUUCGUAGAAUAUGUAGGAGCCAAUAUGAGCAUCCAGGUUUCGCUAUUGGUUAUUGACUGGAGACGUGUCUCGGUCAUGUCUACAUUGUUCUCGAACCCGUAGGGUCCGCACGCUUAACGUUACGAUGACAGUUUCAUUAUGAGUUUAUAUAUUUUGAUGUACCGAAGAUUGUUCGGAGUCCCGGAUGUGAUCAUGGACAUGACGAGGAGUCUCGAAAUGGUCGAGACAUAAAGAUUGAUAUAUUGAACGGCUAUAUUCGGACACCGGAAGUGUUCCGGAGAAGUUUCGGAUAAAACCGGAGUACCGGGGGGUUACCGGAACCCCCCCGGGAGUUAAUGUGCCUCAUGGGCCCAAAAUGGAGAAGAGGAGGGGCGGCCAGGGCAGGCCGCGCGCCCCCUCCCCCUCUAGUCCAAAUUGGAAAAGGAGGGGGGUGGCGCCCCCCCCCCUUUCCUUCCUCUCCUCUCUCCCUUUCUUCCCCCCUCUCCUAGUUGGACAAGGAAAAAGGAGGGAGUCCUACUCCCGUUAGGAGCAGGACUCCUCCCUGGCGCGCCUCCUCCUAGCCGGCCGCCCCUCCCCCUUGCUCCUUUAUAUACGGGGGCAGGGGGGCACCUCUAGACACACAAGUUGAUCUUGGAGAUCGUUCUCUUAGCCGUGUGCGUUGCCGCCCUCCACCAUAAUCCUCGAUAAUAUUGUAGCGGUGCUUAGGCGAAGCCCUGUGACGGUAGAACAUCAAGAUCGUCACCACGCCGUCGUGCUGACGGAACUCUUCCCCGACACUUUGCUGGAUCGGAGUUCGGGGAUCGUCAUCGAGCUGAACGUGUGCUAGAACUCGGAGGUGCCGUAGUUUUGGUGCUUGAUUGGUCGGGCCAUGAAGACGAACAACUACAUCAACCGCGUUGUCAUAACGCUUCCGCUGUCAGUCUACGAGGGUACGUAGACAACACUCUCCCCUCUCGUUGCUAUGCAUCACCAUGAUUGUGUGUGCGUAGGAAUUUUUUUGAAAUUACUACGUUCCCCAACAAAAAAUAUGUCCACAUGUUUAGAGAUAGAGGUGUCGAUAAAAAUAAAAUACGGACAUGUGGGCAUGAUGAUCAUUCUUAGAACAACAACUUAUAUAAUUCUUGUCAUAUGAUCUCUUAUGCUAGAGUAACAAUUAAAUCACAAUUUCAAGUAUGAAUCAUAAACUUCAUUGAAAACUAGCAAACUAUAAUCUCAGUCAUUGGAGUAAUUGCAAUUUAUCAUAACAUAGGGAAGAGUCAAUAUAUAAGAGCUUUUCAGCAAGUCCACAUGCUCAAUUAUCAUAUAGUCUUUCACAAUUGCUAACACUCACGCAAUACUUAUGGGUAUGGAGUUUUAAUCGGACACAGAGAAAGAUAGGGGCUUAUAGUUUUGCCUCCCAACGUUUUACCUCAAGGGUAAUGUCAACAAUAAUAGUUCAUGAAAACUCACAUCCAGUUAGCCAUAUAUACCAGGAUCUUUCCAACAUGUUGUGCUUGCCAAAUGAUAAUAUGUAAAAAGGAAAGGUGAAGAUCACCAUGACUCUUAUGUAAGGUAGGAGAUAAAAGUAAAAGAUAGGCCCUUCGCAGAGGGAAGCAGAGGUUGUCAUGCGCUUUUAUGGAUGGAUGCACAAAAUCUUAAUGCAAAAGAACGUCACUUUAUAUUUCCACUUAUGAUAUGGACCUUUAUUAUGCAGUCCGUUGCUUUUAUUUCUUCCAUAUCACAUGAUCGUAUAAAGCUUACCCACACUAAUAAGUCAUACAUAUUUAGAGAGCAAUUUUUAUUGCUUGCACCGAUGACAACUUACUUGGAGGAUCUUACUCAAUCUCAUGGCAAAACUGGUUUAAGGGUGUUUUGAAGCACAAGUAGUAUCUCUACUUGGUGCAAAGAAUUUGGCUAGCAUGAGGGGGAAAGGCAAGCUCAAUCAUGUUGGAUGAUCCAUGACAAUAUAAUUGAUCUUAGAUGUAAGAAAACAUAACCCAUUAUGUUGUCUUCCUUGUCCAACAUCAACUCUUUAGCAUGCCAUAUUUUAAUGAGUGCUCACAAUUGUAAAAGAUGUCCAAGAUAGUGUAUUUAUAUGUGAAGACUUCUCUUUCUUUAUUACUGUUGGGGAACGUAGUAAUUUCAAAAAAAUUCCUACGCACAUGCAAGAUCAUGGUGAUGCAUAGCAACAAGAAGGGAGAGUGUUGUCCACGUACCCUUGUAGACCGAAAGUGGAAGCGUUAGCACAACGCAGUUGAUGUAGUCGUACGUCUUCACGAUCAGACCAAUCAAGUACCAAACGUACGACACCUCCAAGUUCAGCACAUGUUUAGCCCGAUGACAUCCCUCGAACUCCGAUCCUGCCGAGUGUUGAGGGAGAGUUUUGUCAGCACGACGGUGUGGUGAUGAUGUUGAUGUUCUACCAACGCAGGGCUUCACCUAAGCACCGGUACAGUAAUAUCGAGGUGGACUAUGGUGGAGGGGGGCACCACACACGGCUAAAGGAUCAAACGAUCAAUUGUUGUUUCUAUGGGGUGCCCCCUGCCCCCGUAUAUAAAGGAGCGAGUGGGGGUGCGGCCGGCCAAGGAGAGGGCGUGCUAGGAGGAGUCCUACUCCCACCGGGAGUAGGACUCCCCCCUUUCCUAGUUGGAAUAGGAUUCGGGAGAAGGAAAGAGAGAGGAGAAGAAGGAAAGAGGGGGCCGACCCCCCUUGCCCAAAACCAAUUUGGUUUGGGCCUUGGGGGGGGGCGCCCCACACUCCCCUUGCUUCCCUCUAUUUCCACUAAGGCCCAUAUAGGCCCAUUAAGCUCCCAGGGGGUUCCGGUAACCUCCCGGUACUCCGGUAAAAUCCCGAUUUCAGCCGGAACACUUCCGACAUCCAAACAUAGGCUUCCAAUAUAUCAAUCUUCAUGUCUCGACCAUUUCGAGACUCCUCGUCAUGUCCUUCAUCGCAUCCGGGACUCCGAACAACCUUCGGUACACCAAAACAUAUAAACUCAUAAUAUAACCGUCAACGUAACGUUAAGCGUGCGGACCGUAUGGGUUCGAGAACUAUGUAGACAUGACCGAGACACGUCUCCGGUCAAUAACCAAUAGCGGAACCUAGAUGCCCAUAUUGGCUCCCACGUAUUCUACGAAUAUCUUUAUCGGUCAAACCGCACAACAACAUACGUUGUUCCCUCUGUCAUCAGUAUGUUACUUGCCCGAGAUUCGAUCGUCGGUAUCUCAAUACCUAGUUCAAUCUCGUUUCCGGCAAGUCUCUUUACUCGUUCCGUAAUACAUCAUCCUGCAACUAAUUCAUUAGUUGCAAUGCUUGCAAGGCUUAAGUGAUGUGCAUUACCGAGAGGGCCCAGCGAUACCUCUCCGACAAUCAGAGUGACAAAUCCUAAUCUCAAAAUACGCCAACCCAACAAGUACCUUUGGAGACACCUGUAGAGAACCUUUAUAAUCACCCAGUUACAUUGUGACGUUUGGUAGCAUACAAAGUGUUCCUCCGGUAAACGGGAGUUGCAAAAUCUCAUAGUCAUAGGAACAUGUAUAAGUCAUGAAGAACGCAAUAGCAGAAUAAUAAACGAUCGUGUGCUAAGCUAACGGAAUGGGUCAUGUCAAUCACAUCAUUCUCCUAAUGAUGUGACCCCGUUAAUCAAAUGACAACUCAUGUCUAUGGUUAGGAAACAUAACCAUCUUUGAUCAACGAGCUAGUCAAGUAGAGGCAUACUAGUGACAAUCUGUUUGUCUAUGUAUUCACACAUGCAUUAUGUUUCCGGUUAAUACAACUCUAGCAUGAAUAAUAAACAUUUAUCAUGAUAUAAGGAAAUAAACAAUAACUUUAUUAUUGCCUCUAGGGCAUAUUUCCUUCAGUCUCCCACUUGCACUAGAGUCAAUAAUCUAGAUUACACAGUAAUGAUUCUAACACCCAUGGAGCCUUGGUGUUGAUCAUGUUUUGCUCGUGGAAGAGGCUUAGUCAACGGGUCUGCAACAUUCAGAUCCGUACGUAUCUUGCAAAUUUCUAUGUCUCCCACCUGGACUAAAUCCCGGAUGGAAUUGAAGCAUCUCUUGAUGUGUUUGGUUCUCUUGUGAAAUCUGGAUUCCUUCGCCAAGGCAAUUGCACCAGUAUUGUCACAAAAGAUUUUCAUUGGACCCGAUGCACUAGGUAUGCCACCUAGAUCGGAUAUGAACUCCUUCAUCCAGACUCCUUCAUUUGCUGCUUCCGAAGCAGCUAUGUACUCCGCUUCACAUGUAGAUCCCGCCACAAUGCUUUGUUUAUAACUGCACCAACUGACAACUCCACCGUUUAAUGUAAGCACGUACCCGGUUUGCGAUUUAGAAUCGUCCGGAUCAGUGUCAAAGCUUGCAUCAACGUAACCGUUUACGAUGAGCUCUUUGUCACCUCCAUAAACGAGAAACAUAUCCUUAGUCCUUUUUCAGGUAUUUCAGGAUGUUCUUGACCGUUGUCUAGUGAUCCACUCCUGGAUUACUUUGGUACCUCCCUGCUAGACUUAUAGCAAGGCACACAUCAGGUCUGGUACAUAGCAUUGCAUACAUGAUGGAGCCUAUCGCUGAAGCAUAGGGAACAUCUUUCAUUUUCUCUAUAUCUUCUGCAGUGGUCGGGCAUUGAGUCUUACUCAACUUCACACCUUGUAACACAGGCAAGAACCCUUUCUUUGCUUGAUCCAUUUUGAACUUCUUCAAAACUUUAUCAAGGUAUGUGGUUUGUGAAAGUCCAAUUAAGCGUCUUGAUCCAUCUCUAUAGAUCUUGAUGCCCAAUAUGUAAGUAGCUUCACCGAGGUCUUUCAUUGAAAAACUCUUAUUCAAGUAUCCCUUUAUGCUAUCCAGAAAUUCUAUAUCAUUUCCAAUUAGCAAUAUGUCAUCCACAUAUAAUAUCAGAAAUGCUACAGAGCUCCCACUCACUUUCUCGUAAAUACAGGCUUCUCCAAAAGUCUGUAUAAAACCAAAUGCUUUGAUCACACUAUCAAAGCGUUUAUUCCAACUCUGAGAGGCUUGCACCAGUCCAUAAAUGGAUCGUUGGAGCUUGCACACUUUGUUAGCUCCCUUUGGAUCGACAAAACCUUCCGGUUGCAUCAUAUACAACUCUUCUUCCAGAAAUCCAUUCAGGAAUGCAGUGUUUACAUCCAUUUGCCAAAUUUCAUAAUCAUAAAAUGAGGCAAUUGCUAACAUGAUUCAGACAGACUUAAGCAUCGCUAUGGGUGAGAAGGUCUCAUCGUAGUCAAUCCCUUGAACUUGUCGAAAACCUUUUGCAACAAGUCGAGCUUUAUAGACAGUAACAUUACCGUCAGUGUCAGUCUUCUUCUUGAAGAUACAUUUAUUCUCAAUUGCUUGCCGAUCAUCGGGCAAGUCAACCAAAGUCCAUACUUUAUUAUCAUGCAUGGAUCCAAUCUCAGAUUUCAUGGCCUCAAUCCAUUUUGCGGAAUCUGGGCUCACCAUCGCUUCUUCAUAGUUCGUAGGAUCAUCAUGAUCUAGUAGCAUGACUUCUAGAACAGGAUUAUCGUACCACUCUAGUGCGGAUCUUACUCUGGUUGAUCUAUGAGGUUCAGUAGUAACUUGAUCUGAAGUUCCAUGAUCAUCAUUAUUAACUUCCUCACUAAUUGGUGUAGGCGUCACAGAAACUGGUUUCUGUGAUGAACUACUUUCCAAUAGAGGAGCAGGUAUAGUUACCUCAUCAAGUUCCACUUUCCUCCCACUCACUUCUUUUGAGAGAAACUCCUUCUCAAGAAAGGAUCCAUUCUUAGCAACGAAUGGCUUGCCUUCGGAUCUGUGAUAGAAGAUGUACCCAAAGUCUCCUUUGGGUAUCAUAUGAAGACACAUUUCUCCGAUUUGGGUUCGAGCUUAUCAGGUUGAAGCUUUUUCGCAUAAGCAUCGCAACCCCAAACUUUCAGAAACAACAACUUUGGUUUCUUGCCAAACCACAGUUCAUAAGGCGUCGUCUCAACGGAUUUCGAUGGUGCCCUAUUUAACGUGAAUGCGGCCGUCUCUAAAGCAUAACCCCAAAAUGAUAGCGGUAAAUCUGUAAGAGACAUCAUAGAUCGCACCAUAUCUAGUAAAGUACAAUUACGAUGUUCGGACACACCAUUACGCUGUGGUGUUCCGGGUGGCGUGAGUUGUGAAACUAUUCCGCAUUGUUUCAAAUGUAGACCAAACUCGUAACUCAAACAUUCUCCUCCAUGAUCAGAUCGUAGAAACUUUAUUUUCUUGUUAUGAUGAUUUUCAACUUCACUCUGAAAUUCUUUGAACUUUUCAAAUGUUUCAGACUUAUGCUUCAUUAAGUAGAUAUACCCAUAUCUGCUUAAAUCAUCUGUGAAGGUGAGAAAAUAACGAUAUCCGCCACGAGCCUCAACAUUCAUCGGACCACAUACAUCUGUAUAUAUGAUUUCCAACAAAUCUGUUGCUCUCUCCAUAGUACCGAAGAACGGCAUUUUAGUCAUCUUGCCCAUGAGGCACGGUUCGCAAGUACCAAGUGAUUCAUAAUCAAGUGGUUCCAAAAGUCCAUCAGUAUGGAGUUUCUUCAUGCGCUUUAUACCGAUAUGACCUAAACGGCAGUGCCACAAAUAAGUUGCACUAUCAUUAUCAACUCUGCAUCUGUUGGCUUCAACAUUAUGAAUAUGUGUAUCACUACUAUUGAGAUUCAUCAAAAAUAGACCACUCUUCACGGGUGCAUGACCAUAAAAGAUAUUACUCAUAUAAAUAGAACAACCAUUAUUCUCUGAUUUAAAUGAAUAACCGUCUCGCAUCAAACAAGAUCCAGAUAUAAUGUUCAUGCUCAACGCUGGCACCAAAUAACAAUUAUUUAGGUCGAAUACUAAUCCCAAAGGUAGAUGUAGAGGUAGCAUGCCGACUGCGAUCACAUCGACUUUGGAACCAUUUCCCACGCGCAUCGUCACCUCGUCCUUUGCCAGUGUUUGCUUAAUCCGUAGUCCCUGUUUCAAGUUGCAAAUAUUAGCAACAGAACCAGUAUCAAAUACCCAGGUGCUACUGUGAGCUCUAGUAAGGUACACAUCAAUAACAUGUAUAUCACAUAUACCUUUGUUCACCUUGCCAUCCUUCUUAUCUGCCAAAUACUUGGGCAGUUCCGCUUCCAGUGAUUAGUCUGCUUGCAGUAGAAGCACUCAGUCUUAGGCUUAGGUCCAGACUUGGGUUUCUUCUCCUGAGCAGCAACUUGCUUGCUGUUCUUCUUGAAGUUCCCCUUCUUCUUCCCUUUACCCUUUUUCUUGAAACUAGUGGUCUUAUUGACCAUCAACACUUGAUGCUCCUUCUUGAUUUCUACAUCCGCUGCCUUUAGCAUUGUGAAGAGCUCGGGAAUUGAUUUAUUCAUCCCUUGCAUAUUAUAGUUCAUCACGAAGCUCUUGUAGCUUGGUGGCAGUGAUUGUAGAAUUCUUUCAAUGACACUAUCAACCGGAAGAUUAACUCCCAGCUGACUUAGUGAUUAUGGUACCCAGACAUUCUGAGUAUAUGUUCACUAACAGAACUAUUCUCCUUCAUCUUGCAGCUGUAGAACUUAUUGGAGACUUCAUAUCUCUCAAUCCGGGCAUUUGCUUGAAAUAUUAACUUCAACUCCUGGAACAUCUCAUAUGCUCCAUGACGUUCAAAACGUCGUUGAAGUCCCGGUUCUAAGCCGUAAAGCAUGGCACACUGAACUAUCGAGUAGUCAUCAGCUUUGCUCUGCCAGGCGUUCUUAACGUCUGAAGUUGCAUCAACAGCAGGCCUGGCACUCAGCGGUGCUUCCAGGACGUAAUUCUUCUGAGCGGCAAUGAGGAUAAUCCUCAAGUUACGGACCCAGUCCGUGUAAUUGCUACCAUCAUCUUUCAACUUUGCUUUCUCAAGGAACGCAUUAAAAUUCAACGGAACAACAACACGGGCCAUCUAUCUACAAUCAAACAUAUACAAGCAAGAUACUAUCAGGUACUAAGUUCAUGAUAAAUUUAAGUUCAAUUAAUCAUAUUACUUAAGAACUCCCACUUCGAAAGACAUCCCUCUAAUCUUCUAAGUGAUCACGUGAUCCAAAUCAACUAAACCAUAACCGAUCAUCACGUGAAAUGGAGUAGUUUUCAAUGGUGAACAUCACUAUGUUGAUCAUAUCUACUAUAUGAUUCACGCUUGACCUUUCGGUCUCAGUGUUCCGAGGCCAUAUCUGCAUAUGCUAGGCUCGUCAAGUUUAACCUGAGUAUUCUCCGUGUGCAAAACUGGCUUGCAUCCGUUGUAGAUGGACGUAGAGCUUAUCACACCCGAUCAUCAUGUGGUGUCUGGGCACGACGAACUUUGGCAACAGUGCAUACUCAGGGAGAACACUUUUAUCUUGAAAUUUAGUGAGAUAUCAUCUUAUAAUGCUACUGUCAAUCAAAGCAAGAUAAGAUGCAUAAAAGAUAAACAUCACAUGCAAUCAAUAUAAGUGAUAUGAUAUGGCCAUCAUCAUCUUGUGCUUGUGAUCUCCAUCUCCGAAGCACCGUCAUGAUCACCAUCGUCACUGGCACGACACCUUGAUCUCCAUCGUAGCAUUGUUGCCGUCUCGCCAAUCUCAUGCUUCCACGACUAUCGCUACCGCUUAGUGAUAAAGUAAAGCAUUACAGGGCGAUUGCAUUGUAUACAAUAAAGCGACAACCAUAUGGCUCCUGCCAGUUGCCAAUAACUUGGUUACAAAACAUGAUCAUCUCAUACAAUAAAAUUUAGCAUCAUGUCUUGACCAUAUCACAUCACAACAUGCCCUGCAAAAACAAGUUAGACGUCCUCUACUUUAUUGUUGCAAGUUUUACGUGGCUGCUACGGGCUUAGCAAGAACCAUUCUUACCUACGCAUCAAAACCACAAUGAUAGUUUGUCAAGUUGGUGCUGUUUUAACCUUCACAAGGACCGGGCGUAGCCACACUUGGUUCAACUAAAGUUGGAGAAACUGACACCGCCAGCCACCUGUGUGCAAAGCACGUCGGUAGAACCAGUCUCACGUAAGCGUACGCGUAAUGUCGGUCUGGGCCGCUUCAUCCAACAAUACCGCCGAACCAAAGUAUGAAAUGCUGGUAAGCAAUAUGACUUGUAUCGCCCACAACUCACUUGUGUUCUACUCGUGCAUAUUACAUCAACGCAUAAAAUCUGGCUCGGAUGCCACUGUUGGGGAACGUAGUAAUUUCAAAAAAAUUCCUACGCACACACAAGAUCAUGGUGAUGCAUAGCAAUGAGAGAGGAGAGUGUUGUCCACGUACCCUCGUUGACCGAAAGCGGAAGCGUUAGCACAACGCGGUUGAUGUAGUCUUACGUCUUCACGAUUAGACCGAUCAAGUACCGAACAUACGGCACCUCCGAGUUCAGCACACGUUCAGCCUGAUGAUGUCCCUCGAACUCCGAUCCAGCCAAGUGUUGAGGGAGAGUUUCGUCAGCACGACAGUGUGGUGACGAUGUUGAUGUUCUACCGACGCAGGGCUUCGCCUAAGCACCGCUACAGUAAUAUCGAGGUGGACUAUGGUGGAGGGGGGCACCGCACACGGCUAAAGGAUCAAAUGGUCAAUUGUUGUUCUAUGGGGUGCCCCUGCCCCCGUAUAUAAAGGAGCAAGGGGGGUGCGGCCGGCCAGGGAGAGGGCGCGGCAGGAGGAGUCCUACUCCCACCGGGAGUAGGACUCCCCCUUUCCUAGUUGGAAUAGGAUUCGGGAGAAGGAAAGAGAGAGGAGAAGAAGGAAAGAGGGGGCCGGCCCCCUUGCCCUAAACCAAUUCGGUUUGGGCCUUUGGGGGGCGUGCCCCACACUCCCCUUGCUUCCCUCUAUUUCCACUAAGGCCCAUGUAGGCCCAUUAAGCUCCCGGGGGUUCCGGUAACCUCCUGGUACUCCGGUAAAAUCCCGAUUUCACCCAGAACACUUCCGACAUCCAAACAUAGGCUUCCAAUAUAUCAAUCUUCAUGUCUCGACCAUUUCGAGACUCCUCGUCAUGUCCUUGAUCACAUCCGGGACUCCGAACAACCUUCGGUACAUCAAAACAUAUAAACUCAUAAUAUAACCGUCAUCAUAACGUUAAGCGUGCGGACCCUACGGGUUCGAGAACUAUGUAGACAUGACCGAGACACGUCUCUGGUCAAUAACCAAUAGCGGAACCUGAAUGCUCAUAUUGGCUCCCACAUAUUCUAUGAAGAUCUUUAUCGGUCAAACCACACAACAACAUACGUUGUUCCCUUUGUCAUCGGUAUGUUACUUGCCCGAGAUUCGAUCGUCGGUAUCUCAAUACCUAGUUCAAUCUCGUUACCGGCAAGUCUCUUUACUCGUUUUGUAAUACAUCAUCCCGCAACUAACUCAUUAGUUGCAAUGCUUGCAAGGCUUAAGUGAUGUGCAUUACCGAGAGGGCCCAGAGAUACCUCUUCGACAAUCGGAGUGACAAAUCCUAAUCUCGAAAUACGCCAACCCAACAAGUACCUUUGGAGACACCUGUAGAGCACCUUUAUAAUCACCCAGUUACGUUGUGACGUUUGGUAGCACACAAAGUGUUCCUCCGGUAAACGGGAGUUGCAUAAUCUUAUAGUCAUAGGAACAUGUAUAAGUCAUGAAGAAAGCAAUAGCAGAAUACUAAACGAUCGUGUGCUAAGCUAACGGAAUGGGUCAUGUCAAUCACAUCAUUCUCUUAAUGAUGUGACCCCGUUAAUCAAAUGACAAAUCAUGUCUAUGGUUAGGAAACAUAACCAUCUUUGAUCAACGAGCUAGUCAAGUAGAGGCAUACUAGUGACAAUCUGUUUGUCUAUGUAUUCACACAUGUAUUAUGUUUCCGGUUAAUAAAAUUCUAGCAUGAAUAAUAAACAUUUAUCAUGAUAUAAGGAAAAAAAUAAUAACUUUAUUAUUGCCUCUAGGGCAUAUUUCCUUCAAUUACUUCCUAUUAAUUGCAACGAUGACCAUGUUGGAGAACGUUGCAGAAAACAAAAAUUUUCCUACUCGUUUCACCAAGAUCAUCUAGGAGUUCAUCUAGCAACGAGUCAUUGGAUGCAUCUACAUACCUUUGUAGAUCACGAGCGGAAGCGUUCAAAAGAACGGUGAUGAUGUAGUCGUACUCGACGUGAUCCAAAUCACCGAUGACCAGCGCCGAACGGACGGCACCUCCGCGUUCAACACACAUACGGGACGGGAGACAUCUCCUCCUUCUUGAUCCAGCAAGGGGGAGGGAGUGGUUGAUGAAGAUCCAGCAGCACGACGGCGUGGUGGUGGAUGCAGGGCGUCACAGCAGCAGGGCUUCGCCGAGACUACGAGGGAGAGACGUAACGGGGGGAGGUGGAGGCGCCAGGGGCUGGUGUAAAAUCCCUCCUCUUCCCCCCACUAUAUAUAAGGGUGCCAGGGGGGCGCCGGCCCUAGUAGAUGGCAUCUACUAGGGGGGGCGGCGGCCAAGGGGAGGUUUCCCUCCCCCCCAAGGCACCUAGGGGUGCCUUCCACCACAUGGACUCUUCCAUGGUGGAAACCCUAGGCGCAUGGGCCUAUAGGGGCUGGUGCCCUUGGCCCAUCUAGGCCAAGGCGCACCCCCUACAGCCCAUGUGCCCCCCCGGGACAGGUGGCCCCACCCGGUGGACCCCCGGGACCCUUCCGGUGGUCCCGGUACAAUACCGAUAACCCCGAAACUUGUCCCGAUGCCCGAAAUAGCACUUCCUAUAUAUAAUUCUUUACCUCCGGACCAUUUCGGAACUCCUCGUGACGUCCGGGAUCUCAUCCGGGACUCCGAACAACAUUCGGGUUUCUGCAUAUACAUAUCUUCAUAACCCUAGCGUCACCGAACCUUAAGUGUGUAGACCCUACGGGUUCGGGAGACAAGCAGACAUGACCGAGACGACUCUCCGGUCAAUAACCAACAACGGGAUCUGGAUACCCAUGUUGGCUCCCACAUGCUCCACGAUGAUCUCAUCGGAUGAACCACGAUGUCGAGGAUUCAAUCAAUCCCGUACGCUAUUCCCUUUGUCUAUCGAUAUGUUACUUGCCCGAGAUUCGAUCGUCGGUAUCCCAAUACCUCGUUCAAUCUCGUUACUGGCAAGUCACUUUACUCGUACCGUAAUGCAUGAUCCCGUGACCAGACACUUGGUCACUCUGAGCUCAUUAUGAUGAUGCAUUACCGAGUGGGCCCAGUGAUACCUCUCCGUCAUACGGAGUGACAAAUCCCAGUCUUGAUCCAUGUCACCCAACAGACACUUUCGGAGAUACCCGUAGUCUACCUUUAUAGUCACCCAGUUACGUUGUGACGUUUGGCAUACCCAAAGCACUCCUACGGUAUCCGGGAGUUACACGAUCUCAUGGUCUAAGGAAAAGAUACUUUGACAUUGGAAAACUCUAGCAAACGAACUAUACGAUCUUGUGCUAUGUUUAGGAUUGGGUCUUGUCCAUCACAUCAUUCUCCCAAUGAUGUGAUCUCGUUAUCAAUGACAUCUAGUGUCCAUAGUCAGGAAACCAUGACUAUCUGUUGAUCAAUGAGCUAGUCAACUAGAGGCUCACUAGGGACAUGUCGGUGUCUGUUAUUCACACAUGUAUUACGAUUUCCGGAUAACACAAUUAUAGCAUGAAUAAAGACAAUUAUCAUGAACAAGGAAAUAUAAUAAUAAUAAUGCUUUUAUUAUUGCCUCUAGGGCAUAUUUCCAACAGUCUCCCACUUGCACUAGAGUCAAUAAUCUAGUUACAUUGUGAUGAAUCGAACACCCAUAGAAUUCUGGUGUUGAUCAUGUUUUGCUCUAGGGAGAGGUUUAGUCAACGGAUCUGCUAUAUUCAGGUCCGUAUGUACUUUACAAAUCUCUAUGUCUCCAUCCUGAACAUUUUCACGAAUGGAGUUGAAGCGACGCUUGAUGUGCCUUGUCUUCUUGUGAAACCUGGGCUCCUUGGCAAGUGCAAUAGCUCCAGUGUUGUCACAGAAGAGCUUGAUUGGCCCCGACGCAUUGUGUAUGACUCCUAGGUCGGUGAUGAACUCCUUCACCCAUAUUGCUUCAUGUGCUGCCUCCGAGGCUGCCAUGUACUCCGCUUCACAUGUAGAUCCCGCCACGACGCUUUGCUUGCAACUGCACCAGCUUACUGCCCCACCAUUCAAAAUAUACACGUAUCCGGUUUGUGACUUAGAGUCAUCCAGAUCUGUGUCGAAGCUAGCGUCGACGUAACCCUUUACGACGAGCUCUUCGUCACCUCCAUAAACGAGAAACAUUUCCUUAGUCCUUUUCAGGUACUUCAGGAUAUUCUUGACCGCUGUCCAGUGUUCCUUGCCGGGAUUACUUUGGUACCUUCCUACCAAACUGACGGCAAGGUUAACAUCAGGUCUGGUACACAGCAUGGCAUACAUAAUAGAACCUAUGGCUGAGGCAUAGGGGAUGACGCUCAUCUCUUCUAUAUCUUCUGCCGUGGUCGGACAUUGAGCUGAGCUCAAUUUCACACCUUGUAACACAGGCAAGAACCCCUUCUUGGAUUGAUCCAUAUUGAACUUCUUCAAUAUCUUAUCAAGGUAUGUGCUUUGUGAAAGACCUAUGAGGCGUCUUGAUCUAUCUCUAUAGAUUUUGAAGCCUAAUAUAUAAGCAGCUUCUCCAAGGUCCUUCAUUGAAAAACUUUUAUUCAAGUAGGCCUUGAUGCUGUCCAAGAGUUCUAUAUCAUUUCCCAUCAAAAGUAUGUCAUCUACAUAUAAUAUGAGAAAUGCUACAGAGCUCCCACUCACUUUCUUGUAAACGCAGGCUUCUCCAUAAGUCUGUGUAAACCCAAACGCUUUGAUCAUCUCAUCAAAGCGAAUGUUCCAACUCCGAGAUGCUUGCACCAGCCCAUAAAUCGAGCGUUGGAGCUUGCACACUUUGCCAGCAUUCUUAGGAUCGACAAAACCUUCCGGCUGUAUCAUAUACAAUUCUUCCUUAAGGAAACCAUUAAGGAAUGCCGUUUUGACGUCCAUUUGCCAUAUUUCGUAAUCAUAGAAUGCGGCAAUUGCUAACAUGAUUCGGACGGACUUCAGCUUCGCUACCGGUGAGAAAGUCUCAUCGUAGUCAUCCCCUUGAACUUGUCGAUAACCCUUAGUGACAAGCCGAGCUUUAUAGAUGGUCACAUUACCAUCCGCGUCUGUCUUCUUCUUAAAGAUCCAUUUAUUUUCUAUGGCUCGCCGCUCAACGGGCAAGUCAGUCAAAGUCCAUACUUUGUUUUCAUACAUGGAUCCUAUCUCGGAUUUCAUGGCUUCCAGCCAUUUGUCGGAAUCCGGGCCCACCAUCGCUUCUUCAUAGUUCGAAGGUUCACCGUUGUCUAACAGCAUGAUUUCCAAGACAGGGUUGCCGUACCACUCUGGUGCGGAAUGUGUCCUUGUGGACCUUCGAAUUUCAGUAGGGGCUUGAUCAGAAGUAUCUUGAUCAUUGUCAUUAACUUCCUCUCUAGUCGGUGCAGGCACCUCAGGAACAUUUUCUUGAGUUGCGCCAUUUUCCGGUUCAAGAGGUAAUACUUCAUCAAGCUCUACUUUCCUCCCACUUACUUCUUUCGAGAGAAACUCUUUCUCCAGAAAGGACCCAUUCUUGGUAACAAAGAUCUUGCCUUCGGAUCUGAGGUAGAAGGUGUACCCAAUAGUUUCUUUUGGGUAUCCUAUGAAGACGCAUUUUUCCGAUUUGGGUUCGAGCUUUUCAGGUUGAAGUUUCUUGACAUAAGCAUCGCAUCCCCAAACUUUUAGAAACGACAGCUUAGGUUUCUUCCCAAACCAUAAUUCAUACGGUGUCGUCUCAACGGAUUUCGACGGAGCCUUAUUUAAAGUGAAUGCGGCAGUCUCUAAAGCAUAGCCCGAAAAACAAAGCGGUAAAUCGGUAAGAGACAUCAUAGAUCGCACCAUAUCUAACAGAGUGCGAUUACGACGUUCGGACACACCAUUACGCUGAGGUGUUCCAGGCGGCGUGAGUUGUGAAACUAUUCCACAUUUUCUUAAGUGUGCCCCAAACUCGUGACUCAAGUAUUCUCCUCCAUGAUCUGAUCGUAGAAACUUGAUUUUCCUGUCACGUUGAUUUUCAACCUCACUCUGAAAUUCCUUGAACUUUUCAAAGGUUUCAGACUUGUAUUUCAUUAAGUAGAUAUACCCAUACCUACUUAAAUCAUCAGUGAGGGUGAGAACAUAACGAUAGCCACCGCGAGCCUCAACACUCAUUGGACCGCACACAUCAGUAUGUAUGAUUUCCAAUAAGUUGGUUGCUCGCUCCAUUGUUCCUGAGAACGGAGUCUUGGUCAUUUUACCCAUAAGGCAUGGUUCGCAUGUGUCAAAUGAUUCAUAAUCAAGAGACUCUAAAAGUCCAUCAGCAUGGAGCUUCUUCAUGCGUUUGACACCUAUGUGACCAAGGCGGCAGUGCCACAGAUAUGUGGGACUAUCAUUAUCAACCUUACUUCUUUUGGUACUCACAUUAUGAACAUGUGUAGCAUCACGUUCGAGAUUCAUAAAGAACAAACCAUUCACCAUAGGAGCAUGACCAUAAAACAUAUCUCUCAUAAAAAUGGAACAACCAUUAUUCUCAGAUUUAAAAGAGUAGCCAUCUCGAAUUAAACGAGAUCCUGAUACAAUGUUCAUGCUCAAAGCUGGCACUAAAUAACAAUUAUUAAGGUUUAAAACUAAUCCCGAAGGGAGAUGCAGAGGUAGCGUGCCGACGACGAUCACAUUGACCUUGGAACCAUUCCCGACGCGCAUCGUCACCUCGUCCUUUGCCAGUUUCCGCUUAUUCCGCAGCCCCUGCUUUGAGUUACAAAUGUGAGCAACUGCACCGGUAUCAAAUACCCAGGAGCUACUACGGGCACUAGUAAGGUACACAUCAAUUACAUGUAUAUCACAUAUACCUUUUGUUUUGCCGGCCUUCUUAUCCGCUAAGUACUUAGGGCAGUUCCGCUUCCAGUGACCGCUUCCCUUGCAAUAAAAGCACUCAGUCUCGGGCUUGGGUCCAUUCUUUGGCUUCUUCCCGGCAGCUUGCUUGCCGGGCGCGGCAACCUCCUUGCCGUCCUUCUUGAAGUUCUUUUUACCCUUGCCUUUCUUGAACUUAGUGGUUUUAUUGACCAUCAACACUUGAUGUUCCUUCCUGACUUCUACCUCUGCUGAUUUCAGCAUAGCAAAUACUUCAGGAAUGGUCUUUUCCAUCCCCUGCAUAUUGAAGUUCAUCACAAAGCUCUUGUAGCUUGGUGGAAGCGACUGGAGGAUUCUGUCAAUGACCGCAUCAUUCGGGAGAUUAACUCCCAGCUGAGUCAAGCGGUUAUGCAACCCAGACAUAGUGAGUAUGUGCUCACUGACAGAACUGUUUUCCUCCAUCUUACAGCUGAAGAAUUUGUCGGAGACUUCAUAUCUCUCGACCCGGGCAUGAGCUUGGAAAACCAUUUUCAGCUCUUCGAACAUCUCAUAUGCUCCAUGUCUCUCAAAACGCUUUUGGAGCCCCGGCUCUAGGCUGUAAAGCAUGCCGCACUGAACGAGGGAGUAGUCAUCGAAACGUGCCUGCCAAGCGUUCAUAACAUCUUGUUCUGCAGGGAGAACGGGUGCGUCACCAAGCGGUGCUUGUAGGACAUAAUCUUUCUUGACAGCUAUGAGGAUGAUCCUCAGGUUCCGGACCCAGUCCGUAUAGUUACUGCCAUCGUCUUUCAGCUUGGUUUUCUCUAGGAACACGUUGAAGUUGAGGACUACGUUGGCCAUUUAAUCUACAAGACAUAUUGUAAAAUAUUUAGACUAAGUUCAUGAUAAUUAAGUUCAACUAAUCAAAUUAUUAAUGAACUCCCACUUAGAUUAGACAUCCCUCUAGUCAUCUAAGUAUUACAUGAUCUGAGUUAAACUAGACCGUGUCCGAUCAUCACGUGAGACGGACUAGUCAACAUCGGUGAACAUCUUCAUGUUGAUCGUAUCUUCUAUACGACUCAUGCUCGACCUUUCGGUCUUCCGUGUUCCGAGGCCAUGUCUGUACAUGCUAGGCUCGUCAAGUCAACCUAAGUGUUUGCAUGUGUAAAUCUGUCUUACACCCAUUGUAUGUGAACGUCUGAAUAAAACACCCGAUCAUCACGUGGUGUUUUGAAACAGCGAACUGUCGCAACGGUGCACAGUUAGGGGGAACACUUCUUGAAAUUAGUAUGAGGGAUCACCUUAUUUACUACCGUCGUUCUAAGUAAACAAGAUGCAAAACAUGAUAAACAUCACAUGCAAUCAAAUAAUAAACGUGACAUGAUAUGGCCAAUAUCACAUAGCUCCUUUGAUCUCCAUCUUGGGGCUCCAUGAUCAUCUUGUCACCGGCUUGACACCAUGAUCUCCAUCAUCAUGAUCUCCAUCAUCGUGUCUCCAUGAAGUUGCUCGCCAACUAUUACUUCUACUACUAUGGCUAACGCGUUUAGCAAUAAAGUAAAGUAAUUUACAUGGCGUUUCUUGAUGACACGCAGGUCAUAUAAAAGAAUAAAGACAACUCCUAUGGCUCCUGCCGGUUGUCAUACUCAUCGACAUGCAAGUCGUGAAUCCUAUUACAAUAGCAUGAACAUCUCAUACAUCACAUAUAUAUCAUUCAUCAUUCAUCACAACUUUUGCCAUAUCAUAUCACAAACCACUUGCUGCAAAAACAAGUUAGACGUCCUCUAAUUGUUGUUGCAAGUUUUACGUGGCUGAAUUAGGGUUCUAGCAAGAACGUCUUCUUACCUACGUUAAAGCCACAACGUGAUUUGUCAACUUCUAUUUACCCUUCAUAAGGACCCUGUUCAUCGAUUUCGCUCCAACUAAAGUAGGAGAGACAGACACCCGCCAGCCACCUUAUGCAACUAGUGCAUGUUAGUCGGUGGAACCGGUCUCACGUAAGGGUACGUGUAAGGUUGGUCCGGGCCGCUUCAUCCCACAAUCCCGCUGAAGCAAGAAAAGACUAGUAACGGCAAGAUAGUUGACAAAUCUACGCCCACAACAAAUUGUGUUCUACUCGCGCAAGAAGAACUACGCAUAGACCUAGCUCAUGAUGCCACUGUUGGAGAACGUUGCAGAAAACAAAAAUUUUCCUACUCGUUUCACCAAGAUCAUCUAGGAGUUCAUCUAGCAACGAGUCAUUGGAUGCAUCUACAUACCUUUGUAGAUCGCGAGCGGAAGCGUUCAAAAGAACGGUGAUGAUGUAGUCGUACUCGACGUGAUCCAAAUCACCGAUGACCAGCGCCGAACGGACGACACCUCCGUGUUCAACACACGUACGGGACGGGAGACGUCUCCUCCUUCUUGAUCCAGCAAGGGGGAGGGAGAGGUUGAUGAAGAUCCAGCAGCACGACGGCGUGGUGGUGGAUGCAGGGCGUCACAGCAGCAGGGCUUCGCCGAGACUACGAGGGAGAGACGUAACGGGGGGAGGUGGAGGCGCCAGGGGCUGGUGUAAAAUCCCUCCUCUCCCCCCCACUAUAUAUAGGGGUGCCAGGGGGGGCGCCGGCCCUAGUAGAUGGCAUCUACUAGGGGGGGCGGCGGCCAAGGGGAGGUUUCCCUCCCCCCCAAGGCACCUAGGGGUGCCUUCCACCACAUGGACUCUUCCAUGGUGGAAACCCUAGGCGCAUGGGCCUAUAGGGGCUGGUGCCCUUGGCCCAUCUAGGCCAAGGCGCACCCCCUACAGCCCAUGUGGCCCCCCGGGACAGGUGGCCCCACCCGGUGGACCCCCGGGACCCUUCCGGUGGUCCCGGUACAAUACCGAUAACCCCGAAACUUGUCCCGAUGCCUGAAAUAGCACUUCCUAUAUAUAAUUCUUUACCUCCGGACCAUUCCGGAACUCCUCGUGACGUCCGGGAUCUCAUCCGGGACUCCGAACAACAUUCGGGUUUCUGCAUAUACAUAUCUUCAUAACCCUAGCGUCACCGAACCUUAAGUGUGUAGACCCUACGGGUUCGGGAGACAAGCAGACAUGACCGAGACGACUCUCCGGUCAAUAACCAACAGCGGGAUCUGGAUACCCAUGUUGGCUCCCACAUGCUCCACGAUGAUCUCAUCGGAUGAACCACGAUGUCGAGGAUUCAAUCAAUCCCGUAUGCUAUUCCCUUUGUCUAUCGAUAUGUUACUUGCCCGAGAUUCGAUCGUCGGUAUCCCAAUACCUCGUUCAAUCUCGUUACCGGCAAGUCACUUUACUCGUACCGUAAUGCAUGAUCCCGUGACCAGACACUUGGUCACUCUGAGCUCAUUAUGAUGAUGCAUUACCGAGUGGGCCCAGUGAUACCUCUCCGUCAUACGGAGUGACAAAUCCCAGUCUUGAUCCAUGUCACCCAACAGACACUUUCGGAGAUACCCGUAGUCUACCUUUAUAGUCACCCAGUUACGUUGUGACGUUUGGCAUACCCAAAGCACUCCUACGGUAUCCGGGAGUUACACGAUCUCAUGGUCUAAGGAAAAGAUACUUUGACAUUGGAAAACUCUAGCAAACGAACUAUACGAUCUUGUGCUAUGUUUAGGAUUGGGUCCUGUCCAUCACAUCAUUCUCCCAAUGAUGUGAUCUCGUUAUCAAUGACAUCUAGUGUCCAUAGUCAGGAAACCAUGACUAUCUGUUGAUCAACGAGCUAGUCAACUAGAGGCUCACUAGGGACAUGUCGGUGUCUGUUAUUCACACAUGUAUUACGAUUUCCGGAUAACACAAUUAUAGCAUGAAUAAAGACAAUUAUCAUGAACAAGGAAAUAUAAUAAUAAUAAUGCUUUUAUUAUUGCCUCUAGGGCAUAUUUCCAACAGACCAAAACUAUGUUUGUCAACUCUCAACAACUUUUAUUCAUAAUACUCUUUAUAUGUGAGCUCAUUACUCUCCAUAAGAUCCAUAUGAUCUCUUUUAUUCUUUUUAUUCUUUCUCUAUUCUUUUAUUCACUCAAGAUCAUGGCAAAAUAAUCAAGCCCUUGACUCAACACUAAUCUUUAUUAUACAUAGCUCACGGACUCGAUUACAUAGAGGGAUCAUAAAGCAAAACUCAAAACUAGAUCAUGCUAAGAACUUUUAUUCUACUAGAUCAAAAUAUUAUCAAAAGGAUCGAACUAAGAAAAACGGUAAAGAUAAAAGUGAUGGUGAUACGAUACCGGGGCACUCCCCCAAGCUUGGCAGUUGCCUAGUGGAGUGCCCAUACCCAUGUGAUCAUGUCUCCUUUGUUGGUGAAGAAGAUGGUGGUGAUGAUGGAUAGUCGCACAUCGAGCAUAGGAGGUCUUCCAACUUGCGGAUAAUGCCCUUGAGUGCGAUGAUCUGCUCCUUCAACAAAAUAUUUUCACGUGUGAGAUACUUGUUUUGUAUACGAGCUAACUCAAUCAUCUUGAAAUCUUCGAUCUCAGUUGGGGUAAGAAGAUUGUGAUCAAGUUGAAGGAUGUCUUCUGUUGCCGGAACUUUGUCCUCCGUGGCCUUCUUGAUCCCUUCAUCCUUGUUGAUCUCCAUGGAUUCUUCUCUCUUCAGCUCUAUCUUCAUUAGCCAAGCAUCAUUGCCCUCAUUGUUGGAGGAGGAGGGAGACGACAUGAUGCGUGGCUUUGACAACCCUGGCAAAAAACAGCUUGAAAUAAGAACAUGAGAUUUUUGCGUGAUACGGUGGUCAAAACCUUUGGGAGGUUAUAUAAUGAAUUUUUAUCGACCAAAAUACGUGUCGUGUAAGAAAACAGAGUCCGGAGAGCACACGAGGUGCCCACGAGGUAGGGGGCACGCCUUGGGGGUAGGGCGCGCCCUCCACCCUCAUGGAUCCCUCGUGUCCUUCCCGGACUGCUUCUUAUUUUUCUAUUUUUCUAAAUAUUCCAAAGCGGAAGAAAAUUGCCAUUAGAACUGUUUUGGAGUCGGUUUACUUACCGUACCACAUACCUAUUCCUUUUCGGAGUCUGAAACGUUCCGGAAAGCAUCCCUUAUGUAUUCCUCCGGGGUUACGGUUUCAAUAACAUUGGUUUCAAAAUUUAUAGGAUUACCUGAGAUAUAAUGUUUAAUUCUUUGACCGUUCACCACCUUCGGAUUUGUGCCUUCGAAGUUGUUGAUUUUUAUGGCACCAGAACGAUAGACCUCCUCGAUAACGUAAGGACCUUCCCAUUUAGAGAGAAGUUUUCCUGCAAAAAAUCUUAAACGAGAGUUGUAUAAUAAUACAUAAUCACCUACUUAAACUCGCGCUUUUGUAUUCUUUUGUCAUGCAAUCUUUUGACUUUUUCUUUAAACAACUUGGAAUUUUCGUAGGCUUGGGUCCAUUCAUCAAGUGAGCUAAUGUCAAAGAACCUCUUCUCACCGGCAAGUUUGAAAUCAUAGUUGAGCUCUUUAAUAGCCCAAUAUGCCUUAUGUUCUAGUUCGAAAGGUAAGUGACAUACUUUUCCAUAAACCAUUUUAUACGGAGAUAUACCCAUAGGAUUUUUAUAUGCAGUUCUAUAGGCCCAUAAUGCAUCAUCAAGUUUCUUGGACCAAUUCUUUCUAGUUCUAUUAACAGUCUUUUGCAAAAUUAAUUUGAGUUCUCUAUUGCUCAAUUCUACUUGACCACUAGACUAUGGGUGAUAAGGAGAGGCAAUUCUAUGAUUAACAUCAUAUUUAGCAAGCAUUUUACAGAAAGCACCAUGAAUAAAAUGUGAACCACCAUCACUCAUUAAAUAUCUAGGGACUCCAAACCUUGGAAAAAUAACUUCUUUAAGCAUCUUAAUAAAGGUGUUAUGAUCAUCACUACUAGUUGGAAUAGCUUCUACCCACUCAGUAACGUAAUCAACAACAACUAAAACAUAUGUAUAUCCAUUAGAGGCAGGAAAAGGUCCCAUAUAAUCAAAGCCCCAAACAUCAAAUGGUUCAAUAACAAGUGAAUAAUUCAUAGGCAUUUCUUGACGUCUACUAAUAUUACCAAUUCUUUGACAUUCAUCACAAGACAAAACAAACUUACGGGCAUCCUUGAAGAGAGUAGGCCAAUAAAAACUGGAUUGCAAUACCUUGUGUGCAGUUCUAUCUCCAGCGUGGUGUCCUCCAUAAGCCUCGGAAUGACACUUGCCUAGGAUCUGUUCCUGUUCAUGCUCGGGUACACAACGUCUAAUAACACCAUCUACUCCUUCUUUAUAAAGAUGUGGGUCAUCCCAAAAGUAAUGCCUCAAAUCAUAGAAAAAUGUUUUCUUUUGUUGGUAUGUGAAACUAGGUGGUAUAAAUUUAGCAACAAUAUAAUUAGCAUAAUCAGCAUACCAUGGAGUAGUACGAGAAGCAUUUAUGACAUUUAAUUGUUCAUCAGGAAAGCUAUCAUCAAUAGGUAGUGGGUCAUCAAGCACAUUUUCUAACCUAGACAAGUUGUCUGCAACGGGGUUCUCAGCUCCCUUUCUAUCAAUUAUAUGCAAAACAAAUCUUGUAGCAAGAGAACCCAUCUAAUGAGUCUAGGUUUAGCAUCUUUAUUUUCCAUAAGAUAUUUAAUAGCAACAUGGUCCGUGUGAAUAGUUACUUUAGAAUCAACAAUAUAAGGUCUGAACUUAUCACAAGAAAAUACAACUGCUAAGAAUUAUUUUUCAGUAGUAGCAUAAUUUCUCUGAGCAUUGUCUAGAGUUUUUUACUAGCAUAUUGAAUAACAUUUAAUUUCUUAUCAACUCUUUGCCCUAGAACAGCACCUACAUCAUAAUCACUAGCAUCACACAUAAUUUCAAAGGGUAAAUUCCAAUCAGGUGGCUGAACAAUCGAUGCAGAGAUCAAUGCUUUCUUAAGUAUUUCAAAUGCUUCUACGCAAUCAUCAUCAAAAACAAAUGGUAUAUCUUUUUGUAAUAAAUUAGUCAGAGGCCGAGAAAUUUUUGAGAAUUCCUUAAUGAACCUCCUAUAAAAACCGGCGUGACCAAGGAAACUUCUUAUACCUUUGAUGUCCUUGGGACAUGGCAUCUUUUCAAUAGCAUCAACCUUAGCUUUAUCAACUUCAAUACCUCUUUCAGAAACUUUAUGCCCCAAGACAAUACCUUCAUUAACCAUAAAGUGGCACUUUUCCCAAUUCAAGACAAGAUUAGUUUCUUCACAUCUCUGCAAAACUCGAUCAAGGUUGCUCAAGCAAUCAUCAAAAGAGGAUACAUAGACGGAGAAAUCGUCCAUGAAAACCUCACAAAUCUUUUCACAAAAGUCAGAGAAUAUAGCCAUCAUGCAUCUUUGGAAGGUAGCAGGUGCAUUACAUAAACCAAAAGGCAUACGUCUAUAAGCAAAAGUACCGAACGAACAAGUAAAAAUGGUCUUAGAUUGAUCAUCAGCUGACACAUGUAUUUGAGAGAAACCAGAAUAACCAUCUAGAAAGCAAAAAUGUGUAUGUUUGGAUAAUCUUUCUAGCAUUUGAUCAAUAAAAGGUAAGGGGUAAUGAUCUUUUUUAGUAGCCUUAUUUAAUUUGUGGAAAUCAAUUACCAUCCUAUAACCUGUAAUAAUUCUUUGCGGAAUCAAUUCAUCUUUAUCAUUAGGAACGACAGUAAUACCUCCCUUUUUAGGGACAUAAUGGACGGGACUUACCCACUGACUAUCAGCAAUGGGAUAAAUAAUACCUGCCUCCAGAAGCUUUAGUAUUUCCUUUCUUACAACUUCUUUCAUCUUAGGAUUCAACCGUUGUUGGUGAUCACGAACUGUUAAGGCAUCUUUCCGGACGAGACUCCGCCGCCACAGGGCAGAACCUUGGCGGAACCAAUCUAGGGCUCCGGCAGAGCUGUUUUGCCAGGGAAACUUCCCUUCAGGAGAGGGAAAUCAUCGCCAUCGUCAUCACCAAUGAUCCUCUCAUCGGGAGGGGGUCCAUCUCCAUCAACAUCUUCACCAGCACCAUCUCCUCUCAAACCCUAGUUCAUCUCUCAUAUCCAAUUCUUGCCUCUAAGCCUGGGAUUGGUACCCGUGUGUUGCUAGUAGUGUUAAUUACUCCUUGUAGUUGAUGCUAGUUGGUUUAUUUGGUGGAAGAUCAUAUGUUCAGAUCCUAUAUGCACAUUAAUACCCCUCUGAUUAUGAACAUGAAUAUGCUUUGUGAGUAGUUACGUUUGUUUCUGAGGACAUGGGAGAAGUCUUGCUAUUAGUAGUCAUGUGAAUUUGGUAUUCGUUCGAUAUUUUGAUGAGAUGUAUGUUGUCUCUCCUCUAGUGGUGUUAUGUGAACGUCGACUACAUGGCACUUCACCAUUAUUUGGGCCUAGAGGAAGGCAUUGGGAAGUAAUAAGUAGAUGAUGGGUUGCUAGAGUGACAAAAGCUUAAACCCUAGUUUAUGCGUUGCUUCGUAAGGGGCUGAUUUGGAUCCACAUAUUUCAUGCUAUGGUUAGGUGAGCAUAAAUUUUUUGAAUAAUCAUUUCUCUUGAGAGCUCAUGAUUGAGGCAUGAAUAUAACAUUGAUUUAAGCCUCCUCCAAGCUUGAGCGAUGCUUUCUCCUUCGCGAGGCCAGAAAUUAUAUAUAUAAUUGAGAUCACAAUGAACAAGAUGCAUAGGAUAAAACUUCUGAUGAAAUUCCAAUUUCAAUCGUUUGUAGUUCCAUGACCCCGUAUCAUCACAUAGCCUAUACCAUGUCAAUGCAUCUCCCUUCAAAGAUAAAGGAAAUACCUUAUUAUUAGUAACAUCUCCGGGCACACCUGCAAACUUAAAUAAUCCACAAACUUCGUCCACAUAUAUUAGGUGCUCAUCAGGAUACUUUGUUCCAUCUCCUGCAAAAGGAUUAGCUAGCAGUUUUUCUAACAUACUCGAAGGAAUUUCAAAGCAGACAUUUUCAUUUUCAGUAGGUUGAGGAGCAACUCUUUACUCUACUGGUCGGGGUGAAGAUACCCCAAACAAGCCCCUCAGAGGAUUACUUUCCAUAGUAACAAGUGACAGUAAAUUUCAGCACACUAUAUAAUUUUUUUCUUACCAAAUUCCAUCUACCAAAGGCGCUUCACUCCCCGGCAACGACGCCAAAAAAGAGUCGUGAUGACCCACAAGUAUAGGGGAUCUAUCUAGUCCUUUCGGUAAGUAAGAGUGUCGAACCCAACGAGGAGCAAAAGGAAAUGGUAAGCGGUUUUCAGUAAGGUAUUCUCUGGAAGCACUGAAAUUAUAGGUAACAGAUAGUUUUGUAAUAAGAUAAUUGGUAACGAGCAACAAGUAACAAAAGUAAAUAAAGUGCAGCAAGGUGUCCCAAUGCUUUUUGUAGCAAAGGACAAGCCUGGACAAACUCUUAUAUAGAGAAAAGCGCUCCCGAGGACACAUGGGAAUAUCGUCAAGCUAGUUUUCAUCAUGUUCAUAUGAUUCACAUUCGGUACUUUGAUAAUUUGGUAUGUAGGUGGACCGGUGCUUGGGUGCUGUCCUUACUUGGACAAGCAUCCCACUAUUGAUUAACCUCUAUUGCAAGUAUCCGCAACUACAACAAAAGUAUUAAGGUAAACCUAACCAUAGCAUGAAACAUGUGGAUCCAAAUCAGCCCCUUACGAAGCAACACAUAAACUAGGGUUUAAGCUUUUGUCACUCUAGCAACCCAUCAUCUACUUAUUACUUCCCAAUGCCUUCCUCUAGGCCCAAAUAAUGGUGAAGUGUCAUGUAGUCGACGUUCACAUAACACCACUAGAGGAGAGACAACAUACAUCUCAUCAAAAUAUCGAACGAAUACCAAAUUCACAUGACUACUAAUAGCAAGACUUCUCCCAUGUCCUCAGGAACAAACGUAACUACUCACAAAGCAUAUUCAUGUUCAUAAUCAGAGGGAUAUUAAUGUGCAUAUAGGAUCUGAGCAUAUGAUCUUCCAACAAAUAAACCAACUAGCAUCAACUACAAGGAGUAAUUAACACUACUAGCAACCCACAUGUACCAAUCCCAGGCUUAGAGGCAAGAAUUGGAUACAAGAGAUGAACUAGGGUUUGAGAGGAGAUGGUGCUGGUGAAGAUGUUGAUGGAGAUUGACCCCCUCCCGAUGAGAGGAUCGUUGGUGAUGACGGUGGCGAUGAUUUCCCCCUCCUGGAGGGAAGUUUCCCCGGCAGAACAGCUCCGUCGGAGUCCUAGAUUGGUUCCGCUUCGUGGCGGCGGAGUCUCGUCUGGAAAGAUUGCUUAUGAUUUUUUCCUCAUCGAAAGACUCCGUAUAGCAGAAGAUGGGCAUCGGAGGGCCACCAGGGGACCCACGAGGCAGGGGGCGUGCCCAAGGGGGUAGGGUGCACCCCCACCCUCAUGGGCAGGGUGUGGCCCCCUUCUAGAACUUCUUGCGCUCAUUAUUUAUUAUAUAUUCUGAAAAUGACUUCUGUGAAGUUUCAAGACUUUUGGAGCUGUGCAGAAUAGGUCUCUAAUAUUUGCUCCUUUUCUAGCCCAGAAUCCCAGCUACCAGCAUUCUCCCUCUUUAUGUAAACCUUGUAAAAUAAGAGAGAAUAGGCAUAAGUAUUGUGACAUAAUGUGUAAUAAUAGCCCAUAAUGCAAUAAAUAUCAAUAUAAAAGCAUGAUGCGAAACGGACGUAUCAGCGCACAGCGGGAAUUGCAGGUUGCCGCGAAGCACGACCUCGAAGAUCUCCGGGCGCAGUGCGGUCGAGCGUAUCGAGACGGGGAGGCUGCUCGCAGAUGUGAGAUCUCAAACUAACGGCAUCCAAGUCGUGUGGUAGUUUUGCAAAAAAGAUUUGGGUUGCCAAAUACAUAUUUCGUUUAGUAUAUUACCGUCCUAUUUUCGCAAAAAGUUACUUGGGGUAUGUUUUUCAACAAAAAAUUCCCUCGAUCAUAGUUACCGCGGCGUUUGUACGUAAGUUAUCGGGUGUGCGGUUCAUAUAUCACCAUGCUAUUUUCACAUAAGUUGUCGGGGGUAUAUUUUUCUACAACUUUUCUUCCCUUGUUCAUACCGCGAUGUUUGUACGUAAGUUAUCGAGUAUGUGGUUCUUAUAUUAUCAUGUAUUUUCAUAAAAGUUACUGAGGGUAUGUUUUUCAACAACUUUUUUGCUUUGGUCAAAGUUAUCGUGGUGUUUAUACGAAAGUUAUCAGAUCCGCGGUUUGUAGAUUGUUGUGCUAUUUUUCACAUAAACUACCGGAGGGUAUAUUUUUUAAUAACUUUUUUCCAACCCGCAAAAGUUACCGCGGUGUUUGUACAUAAGUUAUCGGGUCUGUGGUCCGUUAUUAUCAUCUUUUUUCACAUAAAUUAUCCGGGUAUAUUUUUCAACAACUCUUUUCUCCUUGGUCAAAUUUACCGCGAUGUUUGUAUGUAAGUUACCGGGUAUGUGGUGUGUAUUGCCAUGUUAUUUUCACAUAAGUUACUGGGGGUAAGUUUUUCAAGAACUUCCUUCCCUUGCGCAAAGAUAUCACGGUGUUUGUACCUAGGUUAUCGGAUUUGCGAUACGUAUGUUACCAUCCUAUUUACACAGAAGUUGUCGGGAUUAUAUUUUUCAACCAAUUAUUUUCUCCCGGUAAAGUUACGCUUUGUUUGUACCUCGGGUUUGCGGUUCGUAUUUACCGUACUAUUCUCACAUAAGUUAUCAGGGGUACUUUUUUUAACAUUAUUUUUCUCUUUGUCAAAGUUAUCGUGGUGUUUGUACCCAAGUUAUUGGGUAUGCGGUCCAUAUAUUACCUUGCUAUUUUCACAUAUAAGUUAUCAGGUUAUGUUUUUGAACUUUUUUCACCUUGGUCAAAUUUACUGCAAUGUUUGUACCUGAGUUAACAGGUUUGCGGUGCUUACAUUACCAUGUUAUUUACGCAUAAGUUAUCAUGAGUUCGUUUUCAAUAAUUUUUUUAUUCCGGGUCAAAGUUACCGUGGUAUUUGGGCAUAAUUAAGUUAUCAGGUUUGUGGUGCGUAUAUAACUAUGCUAUUGCACAAAAGUUAUUCGGGAAUGUUUUAAACAAUUUUUCCCCUGGUCAAAGUUAUUACAGUAUUUAUAUGCAAAUUAUCAGACCCAUGGUGUGAACAUUACCAUGCUAUUCACACAGAAGUUUCAAGGUUCCUACCUUCAACAAUGAUUUUUUAUAUUUGUAUAACACAACUACGAACAACCUAGGGCAGAUUCACAAUUACCUAGUGCACUGAUUAGCUUCAAAGAAAAUCUAUGUGCAUAAUGCAUAUAAUUGUUUCUAACUAGUAUCCUUCUCUGUGUGUUGGUAGAAUAGUACAUUCAUAACUACAAAAUUUUCAAUCAAUGAACUUGCAAAGUAAUAUUCUUGCAACUUCCCAUCCAUAAGCUGAUAAGCAGUUGGUAGUACUAAGCAUAUGGAGAACAAUUAUCAACUGAGUUGGAGUCACUCCACUAACUGAUUUCUCAAGUCAUCAAUAAACCAUAAAUUAUGACGAUCCCUGAAAUUUUUGGUGUAGUAAAAGGCUAAGUUCAUGUGUUGUACAGUGAAACAAAAGAUGUGGAUAGCCAGUAGUAACACUUCUAGGUGGAAAUUGUUGCAGAAAUAUAACAUGUUCGUCGCUCAGAUUGGUUGUGCAGCCAUGUGUAAAGAGUGUUAUGGAAGCACACAAGAUUGAUGAUGAGUUAAACUAAAGCAAGAUGCAGUGAAUUUGUACACAAACAUGCAGAUAUUUUUGCUCCAUUUUCUUUAUAACAAAGUCUGCGUACAAAGUACUAAGUACUAGUACUGACCCUCUCUUUAACUUCAUCGAGAAAUGAACCAGACUGUAUCUACAAGCACUACUACAUAGGUUCAGAGAACAAACACUAUGAACAAACAUAUUCAUGCUAAUUCAGGCCAUAGCUGCUGCUGUUCCAGCUUCACGAGAGACGCCUCCGCAGGAUCACGGAAAAACUAGCGCUAGUUCUACCGACUAAAUGAAGUAAUAAACUCCAGCACCAUCGCGCUUCUGCCCAUCAUUUUGUGUCCAAUUCUACUUGCAAACUGAACUCCAGCAUCACGAAAGCAACCAUGAAUAAGCAAACAACUCCGGUGAGUGAUGCGGACGGGCCUAGGAUCGCAGCCCAGUUGAGCGAGCACAGCAUCAAGGACUUCAUCCAUCAACCAAUCGAUUCG